UGGGCGCACGGCGCACGGGUGAGUAACACGUGGGCAAUCUGCCCUCGGAUGGGGGAUAACCCCGCGAAAGCGGGGCUAAUACCGCAUGACAUUCCGGAGACCUCGGUUUCCGGAUUCAAAGCCGAAAGGCGUCUGAGGAGGAGCCCGCGCCCGAUUAGCUAGUUGGUGAGGUAACGGCUCACCAAGGCUUUGAUCGGUAGCCGGUCUGAGAGGACGAUCGGCCACACUGGAACUGAGACACGGUCCAGACUCCUACGGGAGGCAGCAGUGGGGAAUAUUGCGCAAUGGGCGAAAGCCUGACGCAGCGACGCCGCGUGGGGGAUGAAGCUUCUCGGAGUGUAAACCCCUUUCGACCCGGACGAAUGACCCGCAAGGGUUUGACGGUACGGGUAUAAGAAGCCCCGGCUAACUACGUGCCAGCAGCCGCGGUAAUACGUAGGGGGCCAGCGUUGCUCGGAAUUACUGGGCGUAAAGGGUUCGUAGGCGGUGCGGCAAGUUGGGAGUGAAAUCUCUGGGCUCAACCCAGAGGCUGCUUUCAAAACUGCCGUGCUCGAGUGCGGGAGAGGCGAGUGGAAUUGCAGGUGUAGCGGUGAAAUGCGUAGAUAUCUGCAGGAACACCCGUGGCGAAGGCGGCUCGCUGGACCGCAACUGACGCUGAGGAACGAAAGCUAGGGGAGCAAACAGGAUUAGAUACCCUGGUAGUCCUAGCCCUAAACCAUCAGGACUUGGGGUGGCUCGCGUAGGCGGGGUCGUCCCGUAGCUAACGCGUUAAGUCCUGCGCCUGGGGAGUACGGUCGCAAGACUGAAACUCAAAGGAAUUGACGGGGGCCCGCACAAGCGGUGGAACAUGUGGUUCAAUUCGACGCAACGCGAAGAACCUUACCUGGGCU
rnacentral:rRNA from 1 species